GGGGUGGGAGGAGCAGAGCCACGCCGGGCGUCGUGCGGCGCGCGGGCGGGAUGCUUCUGCUUGGAGAUUGUCUUGGGUUGGGGGUUGGGGGUUAGGGGUUGGUGAUGGGGAUCGCCUCUGUGAGCUCCUGGGGCUUGGUGCGAAACCCGCUUGCUCAGAGCAACGUCGCCGCCCUCCGGCGCGUUUUUGGAAGCAGAAGAAGAGGGUGGGGAAUGCAACCAGGCUGGGGGACCUGCUGCAGGACCAAGGGCGCUGGGCGGCCCGGCUGCGUGCAAUUUGCUGGAACGAUUUUGGCCAUCUGGGAACCCUGGAGUUCCGGGGUCAUGUCUGUUUUAAGAAGUACGAGCUGGUGCGUUCGGUGGCCAGGGGCGUUUCCCGGGACACCGUCCUCUUGGCUCCCUUGCUAGCCCCCACCGGUGUGUCAGAGGCCCAGCGGGGACUCCGGAGCAAUGCGUGGACCCAAGGCCAGCCUAGUCCCUGAACGUGGCCUCCAAGGGCCUGAGGGCUCACAGGUCCCACUGCUGGCAAGGCCUCCUGCCUCUGUCUGGACUCUCGCUGGCCCCUGUUGGCCCUGGACCCUGCGGGGGUUGCAGCUGUGCCUGGAGCCCACUCCGCUCUAACUGUCCCCGGGCAGGAGCAGAGUCCUCGUCCCUGGCCGCCUCCUUGGGAGGACUGAGCAAGUCACUGCCAGUUUCUGCCCCAGUGCCCUCACCUCGGCUUGGAAGAUGCCUGCAGUCGCCAGGGCUGGGCUGAAACUGAGGUCUGGGAACUCACUCCAGGUCUCCCAGAUGGCCACUACAGCGCUGAUCUGAAGUCAGGAGUCAGGUGCUUCCUCCUGGUCUCCCAUGCGGGUGCAAGGCCCAAGCACUUGGGUCAUCCUUCACUGCACUCCCGGGCCACAGCAGAGAGCUAGACCGGAAGAGCAGCAACCGGGACUGGAUCCCGGCGCCCAUAUGGGAUGCUGGCGCCGCAGGCGGAGGAUUAACCAGGCUGUCACAGAGACUCCUUCCACUGGAGGCAUCCGGGACACUUGUGCAUGGAAGAGCAAGGGAGGCCCCUGCACGGCACUUGUACAAUGUGCAAGGCUUUAGGUGAGCCAGAUCUGGAGGCAGUCUCUCCCUGCAUGCACCAUCCUCGUGUUCCUGGCCGCGGCAUAUAACUAGGAGCACAGUGCUGUCUGGAUUUCCCUGGAACUAUGCAGGCCUUCCCUUGGUGCAUCUGGGGAAGCUGUGUGCCUGCCAAUGAGGUCACAGAGCAGGCAGGAUGAGUCCCAGAUGUUGAACAUGGCAAUUUGCCUUGAACUUGCAAGAUCACAACCAGGAACAAAUGUAUAGAUUUUCCUCACUUAUUGUUUUCACAUGAAGCUGAGGGAAAAUCAAUGAUCAGUGAAGAAAAAGACAGAGAGGAUUUUUUUUUCCUUUUAAAAUGCAGAGAAGACUGGGGGCGGUGCUGUGGCACAGCUGGUAAAGCCACAGCCUGCAGCAUUAGCAUCCCAUGUGGGCACCAGUUCAAGUCGUGGCUGCUCCACUUCCCAUCCACCUCCCUGCUCAUGCGCCUGGGAAAGCAGCAGAAGAUGACCCAAGUGCUUGGGCCCCUGCACCCACAUAGGAGACUCCAAGAAAGCUCCCAGCCAGCUUCUGGCUUCAGAUCAGCCCAGCUCUGGCCACUGAAGCCAUUUGGGGGAGGGAACCAGCGGAUGGAGGACCUCUCUUUCUCCUCUCCCUCUCCCUCUACCUCUCCCUCUCCUCUCUCUCUAACUCUGGCUUUAAAAUAAAUAAAUAAAUAAAUAAAUCUUUUUUAAAAAGUAGAGCAGCAAAAGGAAGGAUUUGCAUGUGUUUGAAAUGAGGAUUGGGUGAAGAACUUCAUCUCAGUAGUACUGGUGAAUAUAAUUAGUGAACAAAGGUAUAUUAUUCUGGACUCUCUAAACAGUUUUGGCUCAUGCCGUAAUUCCAAUUAUCCUUAAUUACACAGGUGUCAUUUUACACUUACGUAGUCAUCCCCAGAGGAAUUAUUUUUCACUUCUGAUAAAUAGAUGCCUUAAAUGUGUUUUGGGUGGUAGUUAGAGAAGCCUGGCAGGUGGCUUCAUAAACUACUGCUGCCACCUAGUGGUGAUACCAAGCUGUGAGCGACGUAAACCUGAAACCACCGGAUGGUGGGUGCGACUGUGGUUCCAGGUUUUCAAGACGGCUUCGACGCAGCAGCUCAUGUGCAUGGUGCUGAUGCCAACAUGUUGCUGCAGUUCUUAUUGCUAAGAGUCUGCACCAGGGCUGUUCCACCCCCAUGGUGCCAUUCAGUUAGGUAGAAGGAUAAAUUAAUUACAGAAAGGCGUCAGGUGGCCUGGCAAGCAUUUCAAGAAAAAGCAAGUGGCCAAUAGCAGCCUGGACACCCCAGUCCCAUCCCUUUCUAUCUCUGCCCCAUUUCUUCCUGUAUUCCCUGCCGCAGCAACUUACCUGCCUGAUAUUUUAAUGUAGAUCUGGUUUUAAACGGUUUGCAAUUUCUCUCCCAUUCCUAGAAUUGCAUAAAAGCUCCCAGGCCGUGCUGUCUGGGAGAACCUCCUCUGAUGUGCUGCAGCCCUGGUAACCAGGGUACGGGCAUUUGGCCUUGCGGUUAAGCCAGGUUUGGGACACCCACGUUCCAUAUCGGAGUGCCCGGGUUAAAGUCCCGGUUCACUCCCAAUGCCAAUUGCUUGGUGAAGUGCGCCCUGGGAAGCAGCCAUGAUGGCUCAAGUAAUUGAGUCCCCACCACUCACAUAGGAGACCUGGAUUGAGCUCCAGGCUCCUGGCCUGGCCUGGCCUGGCCCCAGUCAUCAAAGACAUUUGGGGAGUGAACUAGCAGGUGGGACCUCUCCUCUCUCGCUCGCUCUCUCGCUCUCUCUCUCUCUGUCUCUGUCUCCUGCUUUCUCACUCUCAGAUAAUUCUUUUUUUUUUUUUUUUUUACAGGCAGAGAGAAAGGUCUUCCUUUGCCGUUGGUUCACCCCCCAAUGGCCACUGCGGCCGGUGUACCACGCUGAUCCAAAGCCAGGUGCUCCCAUGCGGGUGCAGGGCCCAAGCACCUGGGCCAUCCUCCACUGCACUCCCUGGCCACAGCAGAGAGCUGGCCUGGAAGAGGGGCAACCGGGACAGAAUCUGGCACCCCGACCUGGACUAGAACCCGGUGUGCCAGCACUGCUAGGCGGAGGAUUAGCCUAUUGAGCCGCGGUGCCGGCCUAGAUAAUUCUUUUUUAAAAAUGCUGGUAACCACUAGCCAACUGUGACUGUCACUUUGAACACAGCCAUUGAGGUUCUUCAUUUCUCAUUUUAUUUCAUUUUAAGGAAUUCCAGUGUAAGAAGCCACAUAUGGCUCGUGGCUGCUGGGGUCGCCAGCACCGCUCCAGGAGGCAAGGGCCUGGCCUGCUUUAUUCCCUGCAGCCUCCCCAACACCAGGAAGCAGCCUCCCCAACACCAGGGAGCAGCCUCCCCAACACCUGGACCCUGAGAGCUGCUCAUUAAUGGCCCAGGCCUUGCAAGGCUAAGAUUAUUGAAAAGGUUGCUCGUGAUAUAAUCCAAGCCUUGGAAGAAGGCAGACAGUCGGCAGGAUAAUAAAAUACAGGAGAUAUGCAAGCAACACAAGGGAUCUCAUGCAUUUCAGAUAAUCCACCUGGAGACCAGAUGACCGUAACGGCCUCUUUCCGUCCCACCAGCAGCGUCUGAGGCUGUGUCUACCCCAUCUCCAGCCAUGGUCUGGGCGAAAUAGGGAAAUCCACUCCCAAAGCCUAAUCCUGACAAAUCCUCCUAAGCCUGCAAUGCACACCCAAGGCCAUGGCCACAGGUGGUUGUUUCAAGGAGAAGAUGAGGGGCAAAAGGAUGAGGAGCAGGAGGAAGAGAGCCAAGAGGAACUGUUCUGCUGAGCAGGGUUCUUGGGGACUCCAGACAAACAUGGAGGAGACCCCGAAAAGACAGAUAAGCCUGAGCCCUAGGGAUAAGGUGUUCUACCCAUCAAUGGUCCAGGGGGUGACCUGGGUAGAUUAGUGCCCCCACCCCCUUUCACCCCAAAGAGACCAAAGGAUGAAGGAUGAAGUUAUGUAUGGACCCGAGGAGGUUUUCACUGAAACAAGGCAGGUGCACACGGAUCCCCGUGUCUUCCCAAAGCCACGUGGAAGGACAUGAAGGGAACAAGAAAGAGAAUGAGAAUAGAUGACAGACAGGAGGUGACAACAAAUGUGGGGAGUGGACGGGGAUUGAAGGAACGGGACUAAGCUGAGCUGUGAGAGCAAAGACCUGGCUGCCCGCAGGGAAGAGAACCCGGCCAGAAGAAACUGCCUCGCCCAAGCCCAGGGAGGUGCAGGGUUGAGGCGCAGGCACCUGCAGAGGGAGCGGAUAGGCGGAGUUACACAGGGCAAGGCUGCGAGCAGGAGUGGUGUAGAGCCUGGAAAAGGAACACAGGGGCCCCAGAUGCCCAGCUCACCCCCAAGCAAGGGAAUGACCCUCCCCUCCCCAUCUCAGCUGAAGACCGGAAGGCUUCUUCUAUAAGGAGGCUGAACCAGAGAAACGUCGGGUUUCCUGCUGCUCUUACCGCCUCGCCUCUGUUCUGAGGGUUCUGGCUGCAGGGCCCUUCUGCAGGGGAAGGCAUGGAGCUGGGGUUAUUUGGGGUGUUUGGCGGCACGAGAGGAGGGUUAGAGUUCUUUUGGAACGCUUGGGGUUGAAUCAGUCACAGUUGCUGUAAGACAAAGUAAAUAAAAGUAAGGCAAUCAUUUUAAAUGGUAUAACAAGGGAAAUUAAAUCAUACUACAACACACGUUUUAAAUGUGAAUGAUGUUUGCACAAUCAUAAUAAUGACAAUGCAAAUAGGUACAUUCAUUUAACAAAAAACUGUGAUACCAUAGUGGGAAGAGAGAAUGUGUAGUGGUUCAGAAAAAAGAUUUUUUUCUAAGAUUUAUUUGUUUACUUGAAAGUCAGAGUUACACAGAGAGAGGAGAGGGAGAGAGAGAGAGAGAGGUCUUCCAUCUGCUGGUUCACUCCCCAAUUGGCCGCAACAGCCGGCGCUGCACCAAUCUGAAGCCAGUAGCCAGGAGCUUCUUCCGGGUCUCCCACGCAGGUGCAAGGACCCAAAGACUUGGGCCAUCUUCCACUGCAUUCCCAGGCAAUAGCAGAGAGCUGGAUGGGAAGUGGAGCAGCCGUGGCUUUACCCACUACGCCACAGCGCCAGCCCCAGAAAAUAAGAUUU